rnacentral:tRNA from 1 species
GGUUGAUUUGCGUUCAAUUGAUGCAGAGUAGGUUUUUGCAGUCCUUA